rnacentral:lncRNA from 1 species
CGGCGGAGGAAAUUCUCCAGAUUGCUUUCAGCAGCGAUGUUGAAAGGAACCAUCUUGACGAUGAGGAUUUUUCACUGGACGUAGAAGGCUGUUAAAGCACCGAGAGUGACAGCGACGAUGAACGAUCAGCUGCUAACUGACGAGGAGCGACUUGCACUUCACGUCCCUCGUGCGGUAAUCUUUCACGCAUAUCACA